rnacentral:misc_RNA from 1 species
GUAUUUAUUCGCGCUUUUUACACGCUAACUUUUUACGUUCGUUACAUUUUUGUGUGUGUAAAAUUCAUAGCAAGGGCAUCCAGAGCCCAAAAGAGGACUCCGUUAACAUCCCAAGCUACAGGUGAUGCACAGGUGUGAGAGGUGGAUUUGCGAUCAGGGCGUGCACAUGCCCGGAGAGGCCAGCUACAACCCUUCUCGACAAACAUUUCAUUAAUGAUCCUUCCGCAGGUUCACCUACGGAAA